UCAUUUAGAGGAAGUAAAAGUCGUAACAAGGUUUCCGUAGGUGAACCUGCGGAAGGAUCAUUAAUGAAUAUACAAAGGAGUUUGAUGCUGGCCUUUGCAAAAGGGGCAUUGUGCUCGCUCCUUAUUCAUCCAUUACACCCCCUUUGUGCACCUUUUUGUGGCUUUGUAAGGAGAUUGUUCAUUCAGUCUCUAAGCAGGCUACGAUGUUUUACACACGCAUAUAUAUGGUUUUGAAUGUAUUUUUGCAACUAUAUGCACUAUAAUACAGCUUUCAACAACGGAUCUCUUGGCUCUCGCAUCGAUGAAGAACGCAGCGAAAUGCGAUAAGUAAUGUGAAUUGCAGAAUUCAGUGAAUCAUCGAAUCUUUGAACGCACCUUGCGCUCCUUGGUAUUCCGAGGAGCAUGCCUGUUUGAGUGUCAUGAAUAAUCUCAACUUGAAAUCUCUUGAUUUCGAGCUUGGACUUUGGAGGUUUUUGCUGGUAUUCUAUAUCAGCUCCUCUCUAAAUGCAUUAGCUAGAGUCCUUUCAAGGCAAUAAGCUCAGUGUGAUAAUUAUCUACGCUGUGUGUAUGCGCUUUGGUUUAUAUGCUACCUCCAAUGAAAGUUGGACUUGUGUGGCUGGGAGACAAAUAGCUUCUAAUCGUCUUUGCAAAAAAAGACAAUUCAUUCUGACAUCUGACCUCAAAUCAGGUAGGACUACCCGCUGAACUUAAGCAUAUCAAUAAG
rnacentral:rRNA from 1 species